rnacentral:misc_RNA from 1 species
AACCAUUCUCACCUGCGGCUAGACCUGCGGAAGGAUCAUUACGAGAGUGUCACCACUCCCAACCCAUUGUUUACCUACCCGUCCACCGUGCUUCGGCAGGCAGCCCUGUGGGACAGAGCCUCGCCCCCUUUCGCGGGGGGUGCCUGCCGCUUGCCAACCAAAACUCUAGCUGUUUUAGUACCAUCUGAGUCUUCCACAAAUGAACAAAACUUUUAACAAUGGAUCUCAGAUCGGAAGAGC